UGGGGAAUAUUGCACAAUGGGCGCAAGCCUGAUGCAGCCAUGCCGCGUGUGUGAAGAAGGCCUUCGGGUUGUAAAGCACUUUCAGCGAGGAGGAAGGUGGUGAGCUUAAUACGCUCAUCAAUUGACGUUACUCGCAGAAGAAGCACCGGCUAACUCCGUGCCAGCAGCCGCGGUAAUACGGAGGGUGCAAGCGUUAAUCGGAAUUACUGGGCGUAAAGCGCACGCAGGCGGUUUGUUAAGUCAGAUGUGAAAUCCCCGGGCUCAACCUGGGAACUGCAUUUGAAACUGGCAAGCUAGAGUCUCGUAGAGGGGGGUAGAAUUCCAGGUGUAGCGGUGAAAUGCGUAGAGAUCUGGAGGAAUACCGGUGGCGAAGGCGGCCCCCCUGGACGAAGACUGACGCUCAGGUGCGAAAGCGUGGGGCAGCAAACAGGAUUAGAUACCCUGGUAGUCCACGCUGUAAAACGAUGUCGAUUUGGAGGUUGUGCCCUUGAGGCGUGGCUUCCGGAGCUAACGCGUUAAAUCGACCGCCUGGGGAGUACGGCCGCAAGGUU
rnacentral:rRNA from 1 species